rnacentral:rRNA from 1 species
GCUUUGGGUACUUUCAGGACCCGUCUUGAAACACGGACCAAGGAGUCUAGCAUGUACGCGAGUCAUUGGGAAUCACUAAACCUAAAGGCGUAAUGAAAGUGAAGGUCUUCCUCGCGAAGACCGAGGGAAGACGGACGAUCGUGUGGGGAUUUAUUAAUUUCCGAUCGUUCUGCAUUCCCGGGGCGUCUCGUUCACAUCGCGUGAAGAGGCGCACCAAGAGCGUACACGCUGGGACCCGAAAGAUGGUGAACUAUGCCUGGUCAGGACGAAGUCAGGGGAAACCCUGAUGGAGGUCCGUA